AUAUUAAUAUAGUUCUAAAAGUUGUGUAAAUGUGAAUACAUGUGUUCUUUGUUGUUUUGUUUGAGAGUAACAUUGUUCAAUGUAAAGUAAGUGUGAAGUAGAUUGUAAGUGGAUUUCCACAGUCGUACACGUGAUGGCAGACUUUGGUCACAAGGCGGCAGCAUUGAGUAGUAUUGUUGUUGUUCCGCCAAGUGCAUCAUGGUCUUUCUUCCUGUUAAUGUGCGAUGGACGUACAAGGGAUUGGUGCGGAGACUUCGUUGUGUAGAAUAGUAGACAGUUUGAUUUAGGCACUACUGGAAUUGUAUGCUGGGAUUUUGGGCGCCAAUCGUCGACCAUUGUGUACUAAAUUUCAUGGUAAUGCUAACAUGCAUUUAGUCAGACCCUGAUAUUGUAUUUUGGUACUCGGAAACUGUUGCAGGUUUUACAUAAAGUGUAACUCUGUUUGAAGGUAAUUGACGUUGAAAGUACGUUGAGUUGUGCGAUCUCCGGGAAGUUCCACGUGGGUUUGGUGAAACUUGGUGAAGUGUAAGUGUCAUUUACAGUUGUACAUUUUAUACACUGAUGCUGAUAUAAGUGGGUUUAUGGUUGUUAACAUGAUUUAUUUUAUGUUUUCUGUCGAUGGUCAUAGCCCACUGCCGUAUUUUGUAUUGUGUUUUUUUUUAUUUUAUUUCUCUGCAUUUUAUUUUUAUUUUGCCUCUUCAUUCAUUCCAACAUUUGGGUGUUAGAGACUGUUACAAAAUCCAGCAUUUGAGCUGUUACGGGAACGACCCAGUAGCAUACCACUCUGUAAAUUGAACUGUACAUGUGGUCAGGAAUAAACCUGGAGCUACAGGAACCCCUGAA